rnacentral:sRNA from 1 species
UAAAAAAUUUUUUUUUUUUAUAAAGAUCUGUCACAUUGAGUUUUCCAUUGGUAAUAUUUGCAUAUCUAUAUUGUGAUGUAAGCUCGAUUUUCGCCAUUUAAUUCUUCUAUUUUGAAACCACACUUUAACUUGGACUUCAUUUAAGCCCAGAUCUUUUGCUAAAUAUCGUCUUUCAUGUCCAACUAGAUACUGUUGCUGUUGGAACUCGCAUUCGAGACGCUCUAGUUGGUAAAUGGUAAAAAUAGUUCGUCUUCUUUUAUUGCAAUGCGCAGAUCUUUUGCAUCCAUACCAAUUUGUAUCGUUUUUGAUUGGAUUGUAGUCGUAAUAAAAUCUUUUUUCCCGAUUCAAAAAAUUUUUUUUUUCAAUAACGUUGGAGUUGUUACAUAUAGAGCAUGUGCAGUUUAUUUUGUUUUCUAUUGGGUCAUUGCACACGCCGUUUGGUUUUUCCUGAGUUUGGUGCAAUGUUGUAAAAUGUUUUGAAUCAGAAAUGCGAUCAUUGAAUUC